GGCUAAGAUCAAGUGUAGUAUCUGUUCUUAUCAGUUUAAUAUCUGAUAUGUGGGCCAUGCGCCCACUUCGAUAUUAAAUUUAUUUUUUGUGGGGGAGGGUCCACCACAGUGGCUUGCCACUGGGGCCCUCGAGCGUCGCUCGGGCGUUGCACUACAGCCCGAGCCUGGCGCACCCCAACCAAGCCGAAAUAAAUGUUUUGUACUGGGCCUUGGUAAAGGGCCUCUUGAGGUUUCCGUCGGUUGGGCAUUUGUACGGGGCACCCUUGUUUCAUUUGGCGUGGGUUCGUUGUGCCGGCAACAAGUGAUGUGCUAGCAACCCGAUAUGCCUGCAGCCCCGGUCUGCGCUACCGCUCUCUCGAGUCUCGACGACGCGCUGCUCAUCCACAAGACUGUAGGAGAAAGGGGCGUUCUGGGUGCGCGCAAUUGUUCGUGAAGAACACGGCGACAUAGCAACAUCGGCUGAAGCCAAUGGCGCUUACUUGGCUGGCUGGCGCAGCGACAGAACGGCCGAGUGGGAGAGCUGCACGCGAGGUGCUCGACGAAAUGGCCAGAGGCCCACUCAAGGCGCGUCCCGCUGGCGGUGGUGUACGCCAAACUGAGCAGUCUUUUUUUUUUCUUGAGCAUGAAUGUAGCUUUCAGCAGUUUGACGUGUGAAUGUGUUAUUGCAGGAAGGCCAGCUGCGGGAGAGUAGAAUUAUUAACUCCAAGUGAUCCUGAUCCUUGUGAUCCUUUCUGCGAGUUAUCUCUGACGGAGCCAGCUAGAUUGCGCUGUUAAGCACUAUUACCGUGCUGAUUAAUGGUAAGUUCACAUUUGAACCGUUGAAAAGGUGUGCUUUGUUGCUUUCACCUUACAUUUCUACUUGGGUCGCAUUAUCCUUGAUUUAGUAUUUAUUCAUGGGUUCCAUAUCAAAAUACCAUCCGUAAAACAAUGGUUGAAAAGAGAUGGAAUACAGAAAGAUCGUAUAUUAAGAUUACACAAACACAUAUACAUACACACUUCAGGAAACUGUGGCACAAAACAGAUAUACAUACACACUUCAGGAAACUGUGGCACAAACAUGUUCAGAGAGGUGUUUGCACAGCGUGUUCCCCACCUUCCGAGAGAAUAAGGUGCCUGUGAACUACGAAACAAAACAUCGUGUACAUAUUUUGCAUGUAUUGAUGCUUGUGGAGAAGUUAGACAGAUUUGACGACAUAGGACAAAGGUCACAGGGAGCAGGAAUGGAAAGGAAAAACAAUCCUUCCUUUCACACACAUUCAUGGUUAGGCGUCACUUUUUUUUACAGUCAACUAGUUCCUGAACAACAUAAAGAAAACAUUAAACAGGCAUUGUCGGCAUUGAUGUUGCCUUUCCUUUUCCCUUUGAGAACGACAAUGGCUAAUGGAUAACAAAUAUGUCUGCAUUCAUAAUCUUUUGACAGAAACUGGAAAAACUUGUCUGCAUUCUAAUGGGACCAAAUUUUGUUACAAUAAUAUACACCAGUUGCUAUGCUGCAGUUGAACCAUUGGCUAAAAUAAAAUUGAUUUAAGGUUACCUAACUACUGAUGUUGUCAGCAAAGAUUGGGAUAAGUGCUAAGUCAGCUAGGACCAUAUUCUUUAUGGACAUCACUGAUGUGAAACGACAGGGGGCUAAUUCUUUAUGGAUGCUUGUUUGACAGGCUUUCUUCAGUCAUUGUUUUUUUUUCUUCAGUCGUUGUUCUUCCAUGUUGUGCUUAAGUUAAAAGCUCAAGGACUUUCUAACUGAAGUGUGACAUGGCACUGAGUAGUAAGUUGUUUUAACACAGCUGCACAAGGAUACUACAAUAACUUUCUGCAAGCAUUUCGAUGGUUUUAAGUUGUCUUUCCAUUUAAGACGGAAAGCUUCUUUACUUGAACAUAUUGAAAAUUUGGUGGUUCUCAUA